UCAGAGGAUUUUUGCUUCACAUGAUAGUGCUCACUGCUUCCUUCUUGUUUCAUCCUGGGAAAUGGCAUUUCUCUCAGGCUUCCUUCCUUUGCUAUGAUUAGCACCAAAACCAUCUUUGUAGAGAAGAGAGGGUGAAGAAAAGUGUUUUCUCUUGUUGUUGGUUGUUUCCCUAUCUGGCUUCUUCUGUAAUCAGGACAGCAGCAUUGCUGCUUCCACUGCUUCAAUAAGGACCAAGUGCACUUCUUCUCCCAUGCAUGGGUGAUGGUCAAUCUUACUCUUGCCUUCCUUUCCCUUGGCUUUGCAUGGAUGACUGUGGGUGCUGCCGAAGCAGCUGAUUUUCCCAAACUUUUGGGCUGGGACUGUUGCUGGGUGUGGGGUUUCUGUUGUCUGUGGACUUCAAAUUAUUUUGAUCAUACAUCCUUAUCAGUGAAAAAGUUUUGAGUGCACACCCAAUACAUAGGUGUUUAUUUAUUUAUAAAUUUAUAAAUUUAUUGCAUACAUGCACUUCUGAAGUUCCAGUAUUUCUUCCUGCACCCCAGUGCAUUGUCUCUUGUACCACACUUAGGAGAUCACCACUCUAGGUGGUCACAAUACAAGGGGAGCCUGGAGGCUGGUGGCAUGAUCUUGGCCAGAUCUGCUCUUUUCCAGGGCACAAGAAGACCUUCCUCAUUUACUCAGUUUUUAUGGGAAGCCUGGAAUCUCCUUGGUUCCUGCAAGACCUGCUUACUCAGCAGGCUUUGCUUCAGUUCUGCUUCUGAGAUGAGGAGAAAUUUCUCACUGUCCUGGGAAAAGGGAUGCAUCUCUAGCACAUGCAGUGUUUCUCUGAGGUUGUGUGCUCAGGUGUUCAAGUCCCAGUCCUGCACAUGCUGAUGCCUUUUUGGCUUAACCUGAACAUUUGACUAAGACCAUGCAAGGUGCUCUGUUGUUCGUGAUUAAGAGACCAUUCAGGCAUAAGGGCUUAGAUACUUGUACUCACGAGCAUCUGCAGGGAAACACAAGCCAGCUCUUUUGUUUUAAAAAAUGUUGGGAAACAUUUUUUUUUAUUUUUUUAUUUUUUGGAUGGAAAUUUUCAUGAAACUUCACCUCCUAAAAAACAAUAAAAACAUCUCAUGCAGCCUCCAUCAGGAUAUGACUCCUGUUUUUUGGUGGGUUGGUAGGCAGGGGAUGAGGGGAUGUGGGCUGGGGAGGGACAUCUGAGAACUGAUGCAUUUUCUGGAAAGGACAAUUGUAGGCACUUUUCCUCCUCUCAACAUGGCCAACGUAGAAAGUAAUGAAGGACUAAAGGACAUCACAAUGUCGUGGACAUUUGUGUCACUAACUACUUUUGUCAGGCAUAUGUACAACUGCAUUCUUUUUAUAGUGCUGCAUAUGGCACUAUCAUAAUUGAAUUUUUCAUAAUGAUUGAUCUGACCUGUAUCAUUCCGUUCACUUUAGCAGAGCUAAUUCAAACAGAUUAAGAUUAGGACUAAAAAUAUGGUCCAGUCAGCCGAAGAACCAUAAAGAGCCUGACUUCAUAGUAAUUAUGAUGCACAAUCUGUUUCAGCCACUUAGGUUGGUACUAUUUAUAUGUAGUACAUGGUCAAGGCAGUAUCUGUUUUGAUUCUGUUUGUCUUCCAGAAGCUGUGAUAUGUGGGCAUCAAGUGGUGGUGUGUCUAUGCUGAAGAUCACUCUGGUUCCCAUGGUUUGAGGCCUUUCUGCCUUCUGCUGCCUUUGGCCAAGUGAGCAUAGCCGUUCAUUCCCUCCAGCAAGGCCAGCAGGUCUAAGACUGUGUGGCUCACGUCUCUGUCCAUGCUGCAGUAACACUAUGGAAACCACAGAUGCAAGGGAUUAGAUUGGCAAUGCCCCAGCCCUGGGCAGGAAGAAGAAAUCAAAGAGACGUUCCCUUGUGAAGACGGAUGUAAUGAGCAAGGCAUUGUGCAUGAGUGAUUUCUCUUUUACAUCCUGAUUCAAGCUAAACAUUUAAAGAUGAAGUCCAGAGUUCAAAGACUGAAGGAUGGAAAAAUUAAUUGUGUGGAAGUUUAAGUAAGCAUUGUGUUUCAGAAAACUUGUGUUAUUAGGUUUCUCAGUAAAGAAAAAAAGAAAAAAAAAAAAAAGAAAAAGAAAAAAAAAAAAGGAUAUCUCACAUCCAGUCAUUUAUGAACUGAAUCAGUACGAAUCAGUAAGCAAUACUGACAAGACAAAAGCCACUUGCACCAAGAUGCUGAAUAAGCAAAGAAACACAUGCAAUUUUGCAGUGUGUUCACAGCAUAUUUUGCCAGCUGAAAAGGGUCUCAGUCUUCUGGGUGAUUCACUUGUUGCAAUUUGGCUUCACUUCAGGGGUGAGGGUUUCAGAAUUACUCACAGCCAUGCUAACAAAUCAGAAGUCAUAUAACGCUAUUGAAAUAUGUUGCAGCUUUGUCCUCUUUGAACCCACAGACGUUCCGAGUAGAUGACUAAAAAAUGAGACCUUGCCACUAUUUUUUUUUCCCAGCUUGAUUCAAGUUUCAUUCCAGUUUUGCACUAGUCCUUACUUUAAACUUAUUUGUUUGCUCAUGCCUGAUAUGAACGAUGACUCAAUAAAACAAUCUCAGUGCUUCACUGUGAA